AUUGAACGCUGGCGGCAGGCUUAACACAUGCAAGUCGAGCGAGCGGCGGCCGGGUGAGUAAUGUCUGGGAAACUGCCUGAUGGAGGGGGAUAACUACUGGCAACGGUAGCUAAUACCGCAUACCCUCAGAUGUGCCCAGAUGGGAUUAGCUGGUAGGUGGGGUAAUGGCUCACCUAGGCGACGAUCCCUAGCUGGUCGGAGAGGAUGACCAGCCACAAUGGACGUGAGACACGGUCCAGAUGCCGACGGGAGGCAGCGGGGGGGAAUAUUGCAAAAUGGGCGCAAGCCUGAUGCAGCCAUGCCGCGUGUGUGAAGAAGGCCUUCGGGUUGUAAAGCACUUUCAGCGAGGAGGCGUUACUCGCAGAAGAAGCACCGGCUAACUCCGUGCCAGCAGCCGCGGUAAUAC
rnacentral:rRNA from 1 species